rnacentral:lncRNA from 1 species
GUUUGAACCUGCACUAUAAGAAAGUCUCCCUGACACGUAACCACUUAGAUAUUUUACGAUAUUGAAGGCAGAAAACUAUUUAUAAACCUGAGGCCGUACGUCAAUGCUUCUACCGCUUUCCCUCCGGGCCGGUACUGCAUCGAACAAGAUUUCACCGUAUAAUUAUUUAAGAAAAAUAAAAAGUAUAAGCAUAAUACUUAAAUUAUAUGGUGCAAGUUGACAAAAAAUUUCUACGGUGCAAAAUUCAAAUCGUUACACAGUACAAUCCAAUUGACAAAAAUACAUUUUUAUCAGCUCACAUUUCUUAUUGAUAGAUUUUUACUCAGAGAAAUUAUAAUUUGUAUAGAAGUUUAAUAUCUCUUAAUAUAUCUUAUGAAAUUUAUAAAGGUUGGGGGGAUUUUAAUUGUGGAUAUUUAAAUUUUGCUACGAGUUUAAUACCACUUUUAAAAUUUAUCUUUAAAAUAUUAAAUUAACUGUUAUAAAUUUUUUAAAAUAAUUUAUAAAAUCUAUGUCGCACUGUAACGGAUACGGGGACAUCUACAGGUAUGGAGCGGGGAUGAGAAACGGCUAAACUUAUAAUUUAU